rnacentral:tRNA from 1 species
AAAAAAUUAGUUAAACCCACAAUAACAUUAGAUUGUCAAACUAAAAUUAUCAAAUGAUAUUUUUUA